rnacentral:rRNA from 1 species
UACGGAGGGUGCAAGCGUUAUCCGGAAUUACUGGGUUUAAAGGGUGCGUAGGCGGUUUGAUAAGUCAUAGGUGAAAGUCCACGGCUCAACUGUGGGAUUGCCUGUGAUACUGUUGGACUUGAAUUGGGAUGAGGUUGGCGGAAUGUGACAUGUAGCGGUGAAAUGCAUAGAUAUGUCAUAGAACAUCGAUUGCGAAGGCAGCUGACUGGACCUUGAUUGACGCUGAGGCACGAAAGCGUGGGUAGCGAACAGGAUUAGAUACCCUGGUAGUCCACGCCCUAAACGAUGCUCACUCGAUAUAUGCCUUACGGGGUAUGUGUCCAAGCGAAAGCGUUAAGUGAGCCACCUGGGGAGUACGUUCGCAAGAAUGAA